rnacentral:rRNA from 1 species
GAUGAACGCUGGCGGCGUGCCUAAUACAUGCAAGUCGAGCGAACAGACGAGGAGCUUGCUCCUCUGACGUUAGCGGCGGACGGGUGAGUAACACGUGGAUAACCUACCUAUAAGACUGGGAUAACUUCGGGAAACCGGAGCUAAUACCGGAUAAUAUAUUUAACCGCAUGGUUCAAUAGUGAAAGACGGUUUUGCUGUCACUAACAGAUGGAUCCGCGCCGCAUUAGCAAGUUGGUAAGGUAACGGGUUACCAAGGCAACGUUUCGUAGCCGACCUGAAAGGGUGACCGCCCAACCUGGAUCGAGAACCCGGCCCAGACUCUAACGGGAGGCGGCAGUAGGUAUUCUUCCGCAAUGGGCGAAGGCUUGACGGGCCAACGCCGCGGGAGUGAUAAAGGUCUUCGGAUCGUAAAACUCUGUUAUUAGGGAAGAACAAAUGUGUAAGUAACUAUGCACGUAUUGACGGUACCUACUCAGAAAGCCACGGCUAACUACGUG